AGAAGCCAAAAGGCCUGUUGAGGAGCAGGUUUCAAGGAAGCAGGUGGAGAUGCGAGGAGACGUCCCUGAAGCAGACGCUUACAGGAGAACAGACGACAGAGCGUCUGCACCUGAAGCACCUAUUGUGGACACCAAAGUGGCAGACGAGAGGAAGUGGCCAGCUGAGGAAGUGCUGAGAGCUCCGGCUCGAUGGGAGGAGACAGC
rnacentral:lncRNA from 1 species